GGGUUGGAGUCAACUCGUCCAGUGUUUGGUUGAAGGAUUUGGAAAUAUGGGUUGGAUGUCAUGAUAACACCGUUAGUGAGGAUCCCACUUGACACCAGUGGACCCCACAUGUCAAUCUCUCACCUAUUUCUUUUUUUUAAUUUUUUCUCUACCUUAUCUUCUUCCACCCACCACCUUUAUCUUCUUCAACCUUCUCCUGGCGCGCGUGAAGACCCACCUCCCUCUGCUCCGAUGAGGCGCGCGGUAGAGACCCACCUCCCUCUGCUCCGGUGAAGACCCACCUCCCUCGUGCGUGCGGAGGCAGGGGGGAGGGGGUGCUCGUGCGCGCGGCCAGGCGGAGGCGGCCGCGACCCUCUCGCGCUGCAGGAGACCGGAGCGGGGC
rnacentral:lncRNA from 1 species